CCACAUAUAUCGUGCAGCGGCCAUUUUGUUGGGAACACGCGCGCGCGGCUUGGCCACAAACGAAAAAUAGUCUGAGUACAGUGUGCUACGAGUACGUACAAUUUUUCUGGUGUGUGAAUCGUUUACAUUAUUUUUUGUAAAAAAUCGUCUUAUAAACUUGAAUAAAGUGACAAUUAAUAUCGUGUUCGUCUUUCUUGAAAGGCGUCGCUGUCAAAGAAACGUGCAAACGCGUUUGAUUGGUCGAAACAAAAAAAUCCGCGAAGAUACAGAUUACAUGAAAUGCUACAUAAUGCGACGCAAAUAUACCAAUAUGUAUAAUGAUUGGCUUAAACUAUUUCAUGAUGUUCUUUCGAAUGAAAAAUACGAAUGUAUAAGUAUCUGAAUCGUGAACGUUCAACAUGCGUAUAAUAAAUAAAAAUGAAACACACAAAUGGAUAAUAUAUUGUUUGAAAGAAAAACUUUAUAGUUUAACUUAUCGAUAAUAUUGUAUGCUCAUAUGGUAACAUGAUAACAGUGAAUUUAAAAUACCUCAAAAAUUCAUUAUUACUUACAUAUUUAUAUGUAUGCAAAUAUUGCAAAUGAAUCUUUAGAAUAUAUUGAUGUAAAAAUGGCAGAGAAUAAAAUAGAAGUUAUAGAUUUAAUAAAAACAGAUAAGAAAGAAGUAUUAAAUAAUCCUUCCACAUCUACAAAAAAAGUGGAAGAUAACGAAAAGCAAGAUAUUUCUAAUAAAAAUAACUUGGAGACAAAUAAUUCUUCCGAAAAGAAUUUAAAUGUAGUUACUAUUAUUGAUGUAAAAGAAGAUGAAUCAAAUUUAAAUUCAGAAGAUUUUAACAAAACUGAAAAUAUUUCAUCUCAAAAUGAAAAACAUAAAAAAGAAGAUGUAACAAUGAAUAUAAGACUAAAAAAAAUCGACAAUGAUGAAAAUUCUAAAGAAAUAGAAAAUUCAUCUUCAAAAGUUAAAGAUAUUAAAAAUAUUUCAGAAGAGGAGGAAACAUUGAAUGAAAUAUUAAAAGUAGUACACGAAAAUUUAAGUUCAUCGGAGAUUCGACAGCUUCCUGUGGAAUCAAAAAAUUUAAACCAAGAAAAUAAAAGUGAUAGUAGUGAAGAUAAUAAAGAAAAAACGGACAAAGAGAAAGAAAAAGAAAACGCGAAAGAAAUUGUAAAUGAUAAAGCGAAUAUUGUCGUAAUAAGUGAAAUUGUAUCAUCUAGAAGAGAUUCUGAAACAAAACAAUCUAUAGAGACUGUUGAACACAUGGAAGUUGGAAUUGUAGGACCUCCUACCACUGUUAGCGAGCUUAUUAAUGAAGAGGAAUUAAGAGCAGAAUCUGCAUUAUCGACUGAUCAAAAAGUUCAGGAUCAUGUAGCAGAAUGGGUACAGAAUUCUGCUAAAGUUGAGGAAUUGGUUGUAGAAGAAGAUGAAACUCCUAUUAAUAAUGCUUCACAAGAGAAGAAGAAUGUAAGGGAGAAGAGGACCAGAAAAAAGAAAAAUAACGAUGUUCUUGCUUUACCUACUAGAAAAUCUCAAAGGAUUGUUAGCAACAUCAUCAAAAAAAGUAUCAAAUGCUUGAACAAGAUGCACGCAAUGGAAGGUGCGGCUGGAAAUGGGAAGAAGGUGGACUCGGCCGAGAAAACAAGGGAUGAUGAAUCGUCGAGAGCUUCGCCGAAAGUUCCUCAGAAUCAGCAAAAUGGCGCAGCUCUUCCAGAAGAAACUGCCGCCGCUCCGACCACCAUCGAGUGUCUUCGAUCCGCGUCGAUCAAGAAGGAACCUCUCUGUGAUUCGGAACCGGAGGCGGCGAGCAAAAGCUUGUCCUCGGCGAAAACGGUACAACAAAAACCCGUAGAAUCACGUUGCGCAAAGACGAAAACGGAAGGUAGCAGAAAACGAAAAUCAACGGAUGGACAAUUGUCAUCAAAUGGAAAUUCUACCUCGAAGAAAUUGUGUAUGGAACAGAGGGAACAAUACAUUUCUUCCCUUGUCGGCUGUGAGAAAGUUACCGCAGAGGAACUUGCUGCGAGGGCUGAUCAACUUCGAGCUGAAGUCCAAGCCCUGGACGAAUUAGCACGUGCCAAAGAAAUGGAAUGGAACGAGAUUUUGAGUAUGAGAAAGUUAAAGGAAGAAGCGUACCUGAGAAUUGAGAGACGGAGGCAAGUUAUGGGAUUUAUGGAGGGUAACGGGCAAUUAGCAGAUACAUUGCCACCGGCAAGUUUAGCUCUAGGCCCUGAAUGGGAAAGUAGUGGUAAUACCACUCCUGUAUCCAAAGAAAAAUUGAGCUUUGGCUCUAAGGAAGAUCUGCCAGAAGAAAGCUCUCAAGAUUCACCUGCUUUUAAAAAGGAAAAAAUUAUAAAACAAAAUACACAACAAUCAACACCACCCAAACAAGGAGGAGAAAAUGGCCGAAAACAGACAGAAGCACUUAGUCCAGAAAAUAGACAAAUUGGCGAAGGUCGUCAAGGUGCCAUUGUCGAUGUUAGAUCUAUCAUUGCUGAUUAUAGAUUGAGGCAUCCCGAAACGGUACCACGCAGGGGUCGAAGAAUGAGAAAUUCGGUAAAUGUUGGUCUUGGAGCUGGUGGAGCCAUGGUCGAAACAGGACAUAAUGUGGAUUCAAGGCCAUCUAGUACAGACUCUUGUAAAAGUACUUCAAAUACAGUUGAUCCUAAUAAUUCUAUGAGCUUUAAAGAUGUACUUGUGCAGUUUGCCAAAUUAAGUCAACAACAAGGUGAACCAGUAAAAACACCUCAAAAUUAUCCGGAUGUGACGCUUCACCCUGUUGCACCAUCCCCGGCACCACAAAAUACUCCACCACAACAAAGUGGUUCGUUGCUUCAUGGAAUUCUCACGAAAUCACAAUCUCCAAGACCUACUACUUUUUCACCUACUUUAGCUAGAUUACUCACCGCACCUGAAAGAGAAAGGAAUGCACCAACAGCCGCGUCUAUACCACAGCAAAGUGCAGCAACCCAGCACCUUUUGCAGACAUAUCAAGGCUCUAAUCCGGUUUCUAUCAGUGAUCUCCUAUCUUCUUCCAAGGCUCGAACUGAAAUAACAAUAACACCAGUCAUCAAUACUCCAGUUCAAUCUCAUGUGGAUGAUGUUGAAGAAGAAUCAGCAGUAAUUGAAGAUAGAGAGACUCGUAUUUCUUCAGGAGGUAGGGAUGCUAGAGAAGAUAGAGACAGUCCGCCACGAUGCCAAGGGAGCGCGUAGCACAAUUUGUAUGUGCUGGCUGUGGCCAUCAGUGGUAUUGUAGUCGCGAAUGUCAAGUUGCUGCGUGGGAUGAACACUCAGAAGUGUGUUCUGGUUAAAGAACGAGUACAUGUUUAUUUAAACCUUGUACUCGUGGUAUCAGGUUAAAUCUUUUCAACCUUUCAACUGAGAAUAAAUCUAGUCAAAAAAGAACAGCCAAGAAUAAUGCGUUUUGGAUACGAAAAAAGGGAGAAAUAUUAAGAGAGCAGUGUAUAUUUUUAAGAAUCUUCAAAUAUGUUUAAUCUGUAAAAAAUAAGUUUUAUUUCAUAAAAAACGAGAACCGCUCAGUUAAGCGCUUCUUAUGAGAGAUGAGUAUUUACGAUGAAAAUAAAAACAUGAGACUUCAGGCACUUUGACAAAAAAAGAUUAGAAUUCGAGUUGAAACGAUCGUUGCUUCUCUGUAUCACCGCGUUGCUUUUAUCCGUAUAAGAAUUGAACGAUCGUGAGUCUUCAUUGAGACAAAUAGAGAGUAUUAACCCUGCUGAAAUUAAGCAUUUAAUAUCUUCCAAAGGACAAACUCUUUGAGGAAUUCCUAAUGUAAUAGGAAUUCAUGAUAAACAUUCGUAACAAUUUCGUGUAUCACUUUUUUUUUUUUUAGACUUUGAUCAAUGCAUGACGUACAAUGUACGUGCUAGUUGAAAAUUUCAAAUUUUUUCAAACAAGUAAAAGAAAACAAGCCAUAAAUAGCUAGUAUGUGCGCUUGUAAUGAAGAACAAAGCACAAAACUGUGUCUCGCGAUGCUGUACAUAAUUUUAUACGUAUUAGCAGGGUUGUUCAGCGUCAAAUUUUAAAAGAUUGAUUAUCCGUGUGCCAUGCGUAAGAUUCGUUUCAUGGUCAGCUUUAUGUGUGAAACAAAUUUAAAUUGUAGAUUAUUCUAGUGUUUUUAUAAUAUUAUCAUUUUGUUUCAUUUCUCUAUUUUUUUUUUUUUUUCGUUUUUUGUAAUUAAGUCUUAUUAAGUUACAUUAAAAUAUCGCAUUUGAUGACCAAAAUGCGAAAUACACACGGACGUUGCAGCCUUCGUAUAUGUUUUGUCGUUCAUUUAAGCACGUACAAUGCGUAUCAAAUACCAUAUUUUAUACCACGUUUGUUACCAACGUAUAAAUUUAGAUUUAACAAAAUAUUAGUCUCUAGUAGUAGGUUUAAGAUUACUUCUUUUUUCCUCCUCCCCUUCUUUCGCAACUUGUUCGUUGGUAACGUAUUUGACACGAUUUGAGUUCAUUUCUUUUUUUUUUUUCUUUUUUUUUUAAAUUAGCAUGUUACCUAAAACGACAAUUGUCCCAGACAUAAUCUGUAGUCCAAAGUUCCUACAGGUACACGCAACAUUAUAUAUAUUUUUCCCAAUUAUGAAGCAAACCAAAAUAAAGUUUUUAAUCGUA
rnacentral:misc_RNA from 1 species